GGCGGCGUGCUUAACACAUGCAAGUCGAACGAUGAACUGGAGCUUGCUCCAGGGAUUAGUGGCGAACGGGUGAGUAACACGUGAGUAACCUGCCCUUGACUCUGGGAUAAGCGCUAGAAAUGGCGUCUAAUACCGGAUACGAGCUUCAGCCGCAUGGCUAGGAGUUGGAAAGAAUUUUGGUCAAGGAUGGACUCGCGGCCUAUCAGCUAGUUGGUGAGGUAAUGGCUUCACCAAGGCGACGACGGGUAGCCGGCCUGAGAGGGUGACCGGCCACACUGGGACUGAGACACGGCCCAGACUCCUACGGGAGGCAGCAGUGGGGAAUAUUGCACAAUGGGCGAAAGCCUGAUGCAGCAACGCCGCGUGAGGGAUGACGGCCUUCGGGUUGUAAACCUCUUUUAGUAGGGAAGAAGCGAAAGUGACGGUACCUGCAGAAAAAGCACCGGCUAACUACGUGCCAGCAGCCGCGGUAAUACGUAGGGUGCAAGCGUUGUCCGGAAUUAUUGGGCGUAAAGAGCUCGUAGGCGGUUUGUCGCGUCUGCUGUGAAAUCUGGGGGCUCAACCCCCAGCCUGCAGUGGGUACGGGCAGACUAGAGUGCGGUAGGGGAGAUUGGAAUUCCUGGUGUAGCGGUGGAAUGCGCAGAUAUCAGGAGGAACACCGAUGGCGAAGGCAGAUCUCUGGGCCGUAACUGACGCUGAGGAGCGAAAGCAUGGGGAGCGAACAGGAUUAGAUACCCUGGUAGUCCAUGCCGUAAACGUUGGGAACUAGAUGUGGGGGCCAUUCCACGGUCUCCGUGUCGCAGCUAACGCAUUAAGUUCCCCGCCUGGGGAGUACGGCCGCAAGGCUAAAACUCAAAGGAAUUGACGGGGGCCCGCACAAGCGGCGGAGCAUGCGGAUUAAUUCGAUGCAACGCGAAGAACCUUACCAAGGCUUGACAUAUACCGGAAACGUCCAGAGAUGGUCGCCCCGCAAGGUCGGUAUACAGGUGGUGCAUGGUUGUCGUCAGCUCGUGUCGUGAGAUGUUGGGUUAAGUCCCGCAACGAGCGCAACCCUCGCUCUAUGUUGCCAGCACGUUAUGGUGGGAACUCAUAGGAGACUGCCGGGGUCAACUCGGAGGAAGGUGGGGAUGACGUCAAAUCAUCAUGCCCCUUAUGUCUUGGGCUUCACGCAUGCUACAAUGGCCGGUACAAAGGGCUGCGAUACCGUAAGGUGGAGCGAAUCCCAAAAAGCCGGUCUCAGUUCGGAUUGAGGUCUGCAACUCGACCUCAUGAAGUCGGAGUCGCUAGUAAUCGCAGAUCAGCAACGCUGCGGUGAAUACGUUCCCGGGCCUUGUACACACCGCCCGUCAAGUCAUGAAAGUCGGUAACACCCGAAGCCAGUGGCCUAACCCUUGUGGA
rnacentral:rRNA from 1 species